rnacentral:rRNA from 1 species
UACGUAGGGUGCAAGCGUUGUCCGGAAUUAUUGGGCGUAAAGAGCUCGUAGGCGGUUUGUCGCGUCUGCUGUGAAAACCCGAGGCUCAACCUCGGGCCUGCAGUGGGUACGGGCAGACUAGAGUGCGGUAGGGGAGAUUGGAAUUCCUGGUGUAGCGGUGAAAUGCGCAGAUAUCAGGAGGAACACCGGUGGCGAAGGCGGGUCUCUGGGCCGAUACUGACGCUGAGGAGUGAAAGCGUGGGGAGCGAACAGG